rnacentral:rRNA from 1 species
GUCCGCCUAGGGACGCAGCAGUGAGGAAUAUUGGUCAAUGGGCGGGAGCCUGAACCAGCCAAGUCGCGUGAGGGAUGACGGCCCUAUGGGUUGUAAACCUCUUUUGCCGGGGAGCAAAGUGCCGCACGUGUGCGGUUUGGAGAGUACCCGGAGAAAAAGCAUCGGCUAACUCCGUGCCAGCAGCCGCGGUAAUACGGAGGAUGCGAGCGUUAUCCGGAUUUAUUGGGUUUAAAGGGUGCGUAGGCGGACGCUUAAGUCAGCGGUAAAAUUGCGGGGCUCAACCUCGUCGAGCCGUAGAAACUGGG